GCGCCCGUAGCUCAGUUGGAUAGAGUACCUGGCUUCGAACCAGGUGGUCGGAGGUUCGAAUCCUUUCGGGCGCGCCA
rnacentral:tRNA from 1 species